AUUGAACGCUGGCGGCAGGCCUAACACAUGCAAGUCGAACGAGAGGCGGACGGGUGAGUAAUGUAUGGGAAACUGCCCGAUGGAGGGGGAUAACUACUGGAAACGGUAGCUACUAACGAAUACAAUCGGAUCGGCCCAGAUGGGAUUAGCUAGUCGGUGGGGUAACGGCGCACCUAGGCGACGGUCCCUAACUGGUCUGAGAGGAUGACCAGCCACACUGGAACGGAGACACGGUCCAGACUCCUACUGGAGGCAGCAGUGGGGAAUAUUGCACAAUGGGCGCAAGCCUGAUGCAGCCAUGCCGCGUGUAUGAAGAAGGCCUUCGGGUUGUAAAGUACUUUCAGCGGGGAGGCGUUACCCGCAGAAGAAGCACCGGCUAACUCCGUGCCAGCAGCCGCGGUAAUUC
rnacentral:rRNA from 1 species